UUGUGAGGUUAAGCGACUAAGCGUACACGGUGGAUGCCCUGGCAGUCAGAGGCGAUGAAGGACGUGCUAAUCUGCGAUAAGCGUCGGUGAGGUGAUAUGAACCGUUAUAACCGGCGAUUUCCGAAUGGGGAAACCCAGUGUGUUUCGACACACUAUCAUUAACUGAAUCCAUAGGUUAAUGAGGCGAACCGGGGGAACUGAAACAUCUAAGUACCCCGAGGAAAAGAAAUCAACCGAGAUUCCCCCAGUAGCGGCGAGCGAACGGGGAGGAGCCCAGAGCCUGAAUCAGUGUGUGUGUUAGUGGAAGCGUCUGGAAAGGCGCGCGAUACAGGGUGACAGCCCCGUACACAAAAAUGCACAUACUGUGAGCUCGAUGAGUAGGGCGGGACACGUGGUAUCCUGUCUGAAUAUGGGGGGACCAUCCUCCAAGGCUAAAUACUCCUGACUGACCGAUAGUGAACCAGUACCGUGAGGGAAAGGCGAAAAGAACCCCGGCGAGGGGAGUGAAAAAGAACCUGAAACCGUGUACGUACAAGCAGUGGGAGCCUCUUAAUGGGGUGACUGCGUACCUUUUGUAUAAUGGGUCAGCGACUUAUAUUCUGUAGCAAGGUUAACCGAAUAGGGGAGCCGAAGGGAAACCGAGUCUUAACUGGGCGUUAAGUUGCAGGGUAUAGACCCGAAACCCGGUGAUCUAGCCAUGGGCAGGUUGAAGGUUGGGUAACACUAACUGGAGGACCGAACCGACUAAUGUUGAAAAAUUAGCGGAUGACUUGUGGCUGGGGGUGAAAGGCCAAUCAAACCGGGAGAUAGCUGGUUCUCCCCGAAAGCUAUUUAGGUAGCGCCUCGUGAAUUCAUCUCCGGGGGUAGAGCACUGUUUCGGCAAGGGGGUCAUCCCGACUUACCAACCCGAUGCAAACUGCGAAUACCGGAGAAUGUUAUCACGGGAGACACACGGCGGGUGCUAACGUCCGUCGUGAAGAGGGAAACAACCCAGACCGCCAGCUAAGGUCCCAAAGUCAUGGUUAAGUGGGAAACGAUGUGGGAAGGCCCAGACAGCCAGGAUGUUGGCUUAGAAGCAGCCAUCAUUUAAAGAAAGCGUAAUAGCUCACUGGUCGAGUCGGCCUGCGCGGAAGAUGUAACGGGGCUAAACCAUGCACCGAAGCUGCGGCAGCGACACUAUGUGUUGUUGGGUAGGGGAGCGUUCUGUAAGCCUGUGAAGGUGUACUGUGAGGUAUGCUGGAGGUAUCAGAAGUGCGAAUGCUGACAUAAGUAACGAUAAAGCGGGUGAAAAGCCCGCUCGCCGGAAGACCAAGGGUUCCUGUCCAACGUUAAUCGGGGCAGGGUGAGUCGACCCCUAAGGCGAGGCCGAAAGGCGUAGUCGAUGGGAAACAGGUUAAUAUUCCUGUACUUGGUGUUACUGCGAAGGGGGGACGGAGAAGGCUAUGUUGGCCGGGCGACGGUUGUCCCGGUUUAAGCGUGUAGGCUGGUUUUCCAGGCAAAUCCGGAAAAUCAAGGCUGAGGCGUGAUGACGAGGCACUACGGUGCUGAAGCGACAAAUGCCCUGCUUCCAGGAAAAGCCUCUAAGCAUCAGGUAACAUUAAAUCGUACCCCAAACCGACACAGGUGGUCAGGUAGAGAAUACCAAGGCGCUUGAGAGAACUCGGGUGAAGGAACUAGGCAAAAUGGUGCCGUAACUUCGGGAGAAGGCACGCUGAUAUGUAGGUGAAGCGACUUGCUCGUGGAGCUGAAAUCAGUCGAAGAUACCAGCUGGCUGCAACUGUUUAUUAAAAACACAGCACUGUGCAAACACGAAAGUGGACGUAUACGGUGUGACGCCUGCCCGGUGCCGGAAGGUUAAUUGAUGGGGUUAGCGGUAACGCGAAGCUCUUGAUCGAAGCCCCGGUAAACGGCGGCCGUAACUAUAACGGUCCUAAGGUAGCGAAAUUCCUUGUCGGGUAAGUUCCGACCUGCACGAAUGGCGUAAUGAUGGCCAGGCUGUCUCCACCCGAGACUCAGUGAAAUUGAACUCGCUGUGAAGAUGCAGUGUACCCGCGGCAAGACGGAAAGACCCCGUGAACCUUUACUAUAGCUUGACACUGAACAUUGAGCCUUGAUGUGUAGGAUAGGUGGGAGGCUUUGAAGUGUGGACGCCAGUCUGCAUGGAGCCGACCUUGAAAUACCACCCUUUAAUGUUUGAUGUUCUAACGUGGGCCCCUUACCGGGGUUGCGGACAGUGUCUGGUGGGUAGUUUGACUGGGGCGGUCUCCUCCUAAAGAGUAACGGAGGAGCACGAAGGUUGGCUAAUCCUGGUCGGACAUCAGGAGGUUAGUGCAAUGGCAUAAGCCAGCUUGACUGCGAGCGUGACGGCGCGAGCAGGUGCGAAAGCAGGUCAUAGUGAUCCGGUGGUUCUGAAUGGAAGGGCCAUCGCUCAACGGAUAAAAGGUACUCCGGGGAUAACAGGCUGAUACCGCCCAAGAGUUCAUAUCGACGGCGGUGUUUGGCACCUCGAUGUCGGCUCAUCACAUCCUGGGGCUGAAGUAGGUCCCAAGGGUAUGGCUGUUCGCCAUUUAAAGUGGUACGCGAGCUGGGUUUAGAACGUCGUGAGACAGUUCGGUCCCUAUCUGCCGUGGGCGCUGGAGAACUGAGGGGGGCUGCUCCUAGUACGAGAGGACCGGAGUGGACGCAUCACUGGUGUUCGGGUUGUCAUGCCAAUGGCACUGCCCGGUAGCUAAAUGCGGAAGAGAUAAGUGCUGAAAGCAUCUAAGCACGAAACUUGCCCCGAGAUGAGUUCUCCCUGAGACUUAGAGUCUCCUGAAGGAACGUUGAAGACGACGACGUUGAUAGGCCGGGUGUGUAAGCGCAGCGAUGCGUUGAGCUAACCGGUACUAAUGAACCGUGAGGCUUAACCUUACAACGCCGAAG
rnacentral:rRNA from 1 species